GCCAGACUCCUACGGGAGGCAGCAGUGGGGGAUAUUGCACAAUGGGGGGAACCCUGAUGCAGCGACGCCGCGUGGGUGAAGAAGUAUUUCGGUAUGUAAAGCCCUAUCGGCAGGGAAGAAAUUGGACGGUACCUGACUAAGAAGCCCCGGAUAACUACGUGCCAGCAGCCGCGGGAAUACGUAGGGGGCAAGCGUUAUCCGGAUUUACUGGGUGUAAAGGGAGCGUAGACGGCAUGGCAAGUCAGAUGUGAAAGCCCGGGGCUCAACCCCGGGACUGCAUUUGAAACUGUCAGGCUGGAGUGCAGGAGAGGUAAGUGGAAUUCCUAGUGUAGCGGUGAAAUGCGUAGAUAUUAGGAGGAACACCAGUGGCGAAGGCGGCUUACUGGACUGUAACUGACGUUGAGGCUCGAAAGCGUGGGGAGCAAACAGGAUUAGAUACCCUGGUAC
rnacentral:rRNA from 1 species